CUCAUCACAAAUAAAGUGAAGCUUAAAAAUAAGAACAAAAAUUGGGAAUAAAAAUAUUUUGGAACAUGCUAAAAUAUACAGUUUCUGCUCUAUUAAGAAACAAGCAGACAAUCAAUACUCUCUGGAUAAUCCUUAACCCCAAAGGGGAGAGACAAGUGAAAAAGACAUUUUAUAAAUUAGGUGAAAAUAUCUCAUUGAAAUAAUAGCAGAGUUCCCGUCAUGAUGCCCGGGAAAUGAAUCCGACUAGGAACCAUGAGGUUGCAGGUUCGAUCCCUGCUCUCACUCUGUGGGUUAAGGAUCCAGCAUUGCCGUGAGCUGUGGUGUAGGUCGAAGACAUGGCUCUCGGAUCUGGCGUUGCUGGGGCUCUGGCUGCAGCUCCGGUUGGACCCUUAGCCUGGGAACCUCCAUAUGCCGUGGGUGCAGCAACUAAAAAGACAAAACACACACACACACACAAAAGCAACAAUAGCAACUUAUAUCUAAGAGAUUAAAACUUGAGAUUUAAAGUAGAAAAUGUUUGAAAAAUGUUGUAAUUCUGAGUAAGCCUUAUAAUAUUUCUAUAUCGCUCUUGGCUGCAUUAACAUUAACUAAUUAACGCUCCUUCUACACCAACAAACCACUGAGAACUUAAAUGCGUGAUAAUGAGGAGGGGAUUCUUUCAUGUUGAUACUUUGCUCUGAAUACUCCAACUACAUGCAAAGUUACAGCUACGCUUUCUCAGCUCUGUAAGUGCAAGUUCAACCAGGUAACCACAAAUAACAUAGACGGCCAAGGCAUCAGUCCACUACUAAUUUAGCCAUGUUUUCCUAACCAGAAUAUGCAUUUGUUUUUGGUGACAGUAGUAAUAAAAUUAUUUUUUAAUUUAUUCAUUUGUUUUUCAUUUGGUUAUUUAAUCAUAUUGGUGCUCUAGUUUGUUCCAUAAAGAGACUGAGAAAGCCUAGAGUAAAAUUACAUGAGGUGCUUUUUCUAUGUUCCUCCCCUGUGAUAUCUGAUUACCCUUACAGCAAACCUGUAAAGAGGAUUUGACCAUCCCUGUUUCACAGGUUAGAGCUCAGGUGGUUGGUCCGAAGACACAGCUAGUACACAGAACGGGAUUAUGAACUUGGGGUCUAUCUGAUGCCAAAAAAAAAAAACACCCUCCUGACUUUGCUAGUGGCUUCCUUGGUUGAAAGGAAUUCUCCUUGGUAUGCACUGAGUCAUUCAUCCUCUUAAACUGUUUACUGUGACAGAGUGUAUAUCUUGACUGCAAAGAAAAAUACCUUGUAUCUCUUUUUAACCAAUUCAAGUGUGUCAGACUGGAGCCCUGCAGCUCUAGGAUGCUCCCAGUCAUACCAAACUAUAGGGUCGAUACACUCAAACUUCCCUUUCCCUUCCCUUCACUGGUUGGAAAUCUAAGUUUCAGGAAGGUUUCUGAUUUAAAGGAAUACUAUGUUUACUGCACAGUUCAUGGAACUAUACUCAAUAUUUUGUAAUAAACCCAGCGUGGAAAAGAAUCUGAAAAAGAAUAUAUAUGUACACGGAGUACCUGUUGUGGCGCAGCAGAAACGAACCCAACUAGUAUCCAUGAGGACAUGGGUAGGCUCCCUGGCCUUGCGCAGUGGUUGGGGAUCCAGAGUUGCCAUGAGUUGUGGUGUAGAUUGCAGACGUGGCUCAGGUCCCAAGUUGCUGUGGCUGGGGUGUAGGCUGGUGGCUGUGGCUCUGAUUCGACUCCUAGCCUGCGAACUUCCAUAUGUCAUGGGUGCGGCCAUAAAAGAAAAGAAAAAAUAUAGGAGUUCCCGUCAUGGCACAGUGGUUAACAAAUCCAACCAGGAACCAUGAGGUUUCGGGUUCGAUCCCUGGCCUCGAUCAGUGGGUUAACGAUCUGGCGUUGCUACGAGCUGUGGUGUAGGUCACAGACAUGGCUCGGAUCCCGAGUUGCUGUGGCUGUGGUAUAGGCCGGCGGCUACAGCUCCGAUUAGACCCCUAGCC
ensembl:lncRNA